UACUGUAAAUAUUUGUGUUUUCCGGUGGUCUUAGGAAACCAAGUGAAAGGGUUAUUGGACCCCAAGGGGUCACAACCCACAGGUUGAGAACUUGUGUUCUACAGGCACCACGUGAGAGCUGCACAAUGACUGCAACUGCUUGGCGCCGAGCACAAUUCUAGCUCACUGCCAUCGUCAGAAGCUAGGAAUCCGCCCAGGACUCUUGUGGAAGAGCUUCUCCUGGCAGAAACCAGGAGCCUUUCUGGUGAAGAAUGAGGACCUCUCACAGCUGACUGGUCUCUGUGCCUUGGAUUUGAAUUUCCACUGUGGGUAAUGGAGAUGAGGAUCGAUGUGGUACAUUUGUGGGACUCCUUUCUUUGGGUUUGAUUUAUGCCAUGCGGCUCGUCACCUGACUGCUCAGGUCAAAGACAAGAUUUAAUUCCCUGUGGAGCAAUCAGACACUAUGGAUUUCUCCAAGAACCACCAGCAGAAGCCUUGUCAGAUGAACAGCCUGCUUCUCACAAGCAGCAUUUGGAUUCUACAGCUAGUGUGACAACACGAACCCAAGCCCUUCUGACUCAGAAUCGAUGCUCUUCAUGGAACUGUGAUAUUUGCCAAAAAUGUGAGGUGCACACUAAGAGCAAGACCGUGGGGAUGAAGAUCAGACACAGGGACAGGCAGUCUGUUGUUCCCAUGUGUGAGGUUAAGGCAAACUAAGAAGAAGGCAUGGAAUGCUCCCAGGAAGCAUCUUCAGGGACAUGCUUAUCCAGAAAGUAGUGACCUCAUCCCAUCUCCCAACUUCUCGGUCCUGGUAAAACAGAACAUUCUUCCUCGGAAAGUGUCUCAGUUUCCUUCCAUCUGGACUGCUUUACAGUGAUCACCCAUUCUCAAGUCCCUUCCCACAAACAUAAAGUAAGUAAAAAAAAAAAA